GCCCUUAGAGUUUGAUCCUGGCUCAGGAUGAACGCUGGCGGUAUGCUUUACACAUGCAAGUCGUACGAGAGUUUUUAACUCAAGUGGCGGACGGGUGAGUAACACGUAAGAAUUUGCCUUUAGGAGGGGGAUAACAACUGGAAACGGUUGCUAAUACCCCAUAUGCUUUCGAGUAAAAUGGAUUUUCCGCCUAAAGAGAAGCUUGCGGCUGAUUAGCUUGUUGGUGAGGUAAUGGCUCACCAAGGCGACGAUCAGUAUCUGGUUUGAGAGGACGAUCAGACACACUGGAACUGAGACACGGUCCAGACUCCUACGGGAGGCAGCAGUGGGGAAUUUUCCGCAAUGGGCGAAAGCCUGACGGAGCAAUACCGCGUGAGGGAUGACGGCCUAUGGGUUGUAAACCUCUUUUUUCAGGGAGGAAUCAAUGACGUGUACCUGAAGAAUAAGCAUCGGCUAACUCCGUGCCAGCAGCCGCGGUAAGACGGAGGAUGCAAGUGUUAUCCGGAAUCACUGGGCGUAAAGCGUCUGUAGGUGGUCAAAUAAGUCAACUGUUAAAUCUUGAGGCUCAACCUCAAAAUCGCAGUCGAAACUAUUCGACUAGAGUAUAGUAGGGGUAAAGGGAAUUUCCAGUGGAGCGGUGAAAUGCGUAGAGAUUGGAAAGAACACCGAUGGCGAAAGCACUUUACUGGGCUAUUACUAACACUGAGAGACGAAAGCUAGGGUAGCAAAUGGGAUUAGAUACCCCAGUAGUCCUAGCCGUAAACAAUGGAUACUAGAUGUUGAACAGAUCGACCUGUGCAGUAUCAAAGCUAACGCGUUAAGUAUCCCGCCUGGGAAGUAUGCUCGCAAGAGUGAAACUCAAAUGAAUUGACGGGGAAGGGC
rnacentral:rRNA from 1 species